UGUACUACAAGCGGAUCGCCGCUUCGCAAGGCCGUAAAACAUCUUAUUUCGUCCGUAACUAUGUUACAUUAUAUAAGCGAUUAAAAAGAACGUUACUCCGUAACUCUAUACAGAUUCAAUUUUUGGUCGUGAUUUUGUGGAAUAAAUCGAUGUACUUGAAUUUUCAUGGUCCAAUUUGAGACUCUGGGAAUUAUAUCUAGGAUGACACAUCUCAUCGUGUUCUCUAUCGUACCCAUCGCAUUGACGAUUCUGCAUGUAUCUGCUCUAAGUCCAGAAAUUAUACGGGCACCUACCAAUGAGGCGACCGUAGAUGGGAAACAUGUUCGGAUUCCCUGCCGCGUUACCGGUGUUCCUGAACCUGAAGUCAAAUGGAUCAGAAACGGUGUAGAACUCACUGGAGGUAGGUACACAACCCUUGAAACUGGAGACCUCGAAAUUAGAAAUGUCAACUUCCUUGAUGCUGGGACUUACACAUGUUACGCGUCCAACAAUUUUGGCCAUGAUAAUGCCUCUGGUAUUCUUGUGGUGAAAAGACACACGACCAUCACUGAGGCACCUGAAAACUACGAAGUCGCUGCCAGAUCUACAGCAACAUUCAGAUGUAACGCUGUGACAGAUUCAAGUUUAACACUGACCAUUGACUGGCUGAGUAACGGAGAGCAGAUAGAUUUCGCCAUGGAGCCAAGGUUCAUCAAGAGCAACGAUAAUUCAUUGACUAUUACAAAUAUUAUAGACUUAGAUUCUGGAACGUACAAAUGUGUUGCUCGCACCGAGCUAGAUGAAACAAGCGCUGAAGCUACAUUGACAGUCCAAGAUGUGCCAAACGCACCUCGCUUAGAGGGAAUACAGUGCGGAAAAGAAGAAGCCAACAUCCGUUGGGUCUCCACGGGUGACAACAGAGCUCCCAUCUUGCGAUACACCAUCCAAUCCAACACCAGUUUCAACCCUGACACGUGGGAGGUUGCAAAGGACGAUAUUCCGACCACAAUGCAAACCUACAGCGUGCCACUGACGCCCUGGACCAAUACGACCUUUCGCGUUUUGGCAUGGAACAAAAUAGGAGUGUCGUUACCAUCGGUAUACAGCGAGACUUGUACCACUCCACCGGACGUCCCUCAUACCAACCCGAAGAACGUCAGAGCUGCGGGUACAAAUCCACAUAAUAUGAUCAUUAAAUGGACCCUGAUGCCUCGCACAGAGCACAAUGGGCCAGGGUUCAAGUACCGAGUGUUCUAUAAACGUGACAUAGACGGUGCAGAAUGGACUAUUAAAGAUAUAAACAACUGGAAAUUGCACAAGCUUCAGGUAGAUAAUCUGCCAACGUACCAGCGAUACAAGAUCAAAGUUGUGGCCAUUAAUAACCAAGGAGAGUCAAGGGUGGCGGUGAAUGAAGUCUUCGGUUACUCAGGAGAAGACGUGCCGCAAGAAGCUCCAGGGAACUUCACACUGUUGAAUGUAACCGGAAGUACGAGUGCAUUGUUCUCAUGGAACCCCGUACCAGAGGAGUCGAUUAGGGGAAAAUUUCUGGGUUACAAAAUCCAGACGUGGACAGACAAGAGUUCGGAGGAAAAUAUGACUGAGAGACAUGUAAACAAGGGCGCGAGUAGAUAUUUGUUCAAAAAAUUGGUACCAUUCAGCAGAAACUACGUCAGGAUUCUUGCAUACAAUAAAAGGUACUACGGCCCACCGUCGGAUACGCUCAGCUUUGAAACACCUGAGGGAGUUCCAGGAAUGGUCCGAUCGUUCGACGCAAAUCCUCUGGGAUUUGACGCGCUCAAUUUAACCUGGUCGAAGCCCGAACACCCCAAUGGAAUUCUCACAGGGUACAGAAUUUCCUAUCAAACCGUUUCAGGCACAGAAGUGGGACCCCUUCUUGAGAUGAGGCCGUCCGUCGCUGACCCAGAAGCCACUAGCGUCGAGCUACGUGGAUUGACCCCGGAAACUACGUACAGAAUCCAUAUUCGAGCCGCAACGAGAGCCGGGGAAGGUGAAGAGUAUUUUAUCGAACAAUCAACCGACAGCGCGGACGCAGCAGAUUAUUAUGACUAAUAAGUCGUUCAGAAUUUUCCGCCGGUUGGUGCAGUGAAAGUGGGCCGAGUAACAUUUGCCUGAAGGAAAAAUAAUUAAAACAAUAAUAUUUUAUAGAUCAGAAGA
rnacentral:misc_RNA from 1 species